rnacentral:rRNA from 1 species
CCCUUAGAUGUUCUGGGCCGCACGCGCGCUACACUGAUGCAUUCAACGAGUCCAACCUUGACCGAGAGGUCCGGGUAAUCUUUGAAACUGCAUCGUGAUGGGGCUAGAUUAUUACAAUUAUUAAUCUUCAACGAGGAAUGCCUAGUAAGCGUGAUUCAUCAAAUCGCGUUGAUUACGUCCCUGCCCUUUGUACACACCGCCCGUCGCUCCUACCGAUUGAGUGUGUUGGUGAGGAGUUUGGAUUGGCCUCGGAAGGUGGUUCGCCACCGUCCGUAGCUGAGAAGUUCUCCAAACCGCCCCACUUAGAGGAAGGAGAAGUCGUAACA